AACUACGCUGGCGGCGUGCCUAACACAUGCAAGUCGUACGAGAAAGUUGGCUUCGGCCGAUGAGUACAGUGGCGCACGGGUGAGUAACGCGUGGAUAAUCUGCCCUUAAGUGUGGAAUAACGUACCGAAAGGUGCGCUAAUACCGCAUAAUGCCUGGCAACAUAAGUUGUCCGGCCAAAGAAGGCCUCUGCUUGCAAGCUUUCGCUAAAGGAUGAGUCCGCGUACCAUUAGCUAGUUGGUGGGGUAACGGCCUACCAAGGCGACGAUGGUUAGCUGGUCUGAGAGGAUGAUCAGCCACACUGGAACUGAGACACGGUCCAGACUCCUACGGGAGGCAGCAGUGGGGAAUUUUGGACAAUGGGCGAAAGCCUGAUCCAGCCAUGCCGCGUGCAGGAUGGAAGGCCUUCGGGUUGUAAACUGCUUUUGUACGGAACGAAAAGACUCUGGUUAAUACCUGGGGUCCAUGACGGUACCGUAAGAAUAAGCACCGGCUAACUACGUG
rnacentral:rRNA from 1 species